rnacentral:lncRNA from 10 species
GAAAAAACCCUGGGGCAUAAUUUCAUGGGAGGGAAGGGCUUGUUUAAAUAGGAACUUUAUGCCACAGUACAUGACUAAGAAACUAUGUAAGUAUGAACCCUAGGGCCCUGUCUUCCUGAUUCAGCCAAGCCAGGUAAUUGCUGCAAAGUAUUCAAAGAUUCCUUGUUAUUUUGAAUGAAGUGAGUUCAGAAAUAUUGCUCAAAUAUGACACAGACAACCCUGGGGUGAAGCCAGACUUUGAGAUUGGAGAUUACACACACACACACACAAAAACCCAAACCCCAAACUGUAAUAGCAUAGCCUACAUUUUAAUAUUAAAGAUGUGUAGUUUGGCUAUUAUGAGGGAGUAUUGCAAUCACAUAGUUGCUUAAUUAAAAUGCUGCCUUUCAAAACAUCUACUAAGAAAUUCAAAAUCUGGCCAUCCAAAUGAACAUUCCCUAAAACUUUAAGUCACUUUUAUUGGUGCUAUAACAAUUCUACACUAAAUGUAGUUUCUCCCAAGAGGGUAAAGACUGACAUUCAAAAACAUGAAUUCUGAGGACAAGGACCAAUUAGAGACAACAAAUAGCUGUCCCAAUCUCAGUGAGAUAAUGAACACGAAAGUGUUUAGGAACAUUAUCCAUCUGGAGCUGGUUCUACGAUUUCAUCACCCCCACCUCCUUUUCAAGCCUCCUUCAGGUAUUUCUGGAAGAUCUCAGGGUGUAUAUCUGAGUACUCACAAAUCAGUUGGGCUAUUUUGUUUUUUUCUGCUCUGACCUUCACCAGGUGGUAUCACCAAUAUCUACUCGGCCUUGCAAAUAUUUUAAUAGAUGUUGUCAUACCUCCUUCUAGCACCCUUAUCUCAGGCAGGCC